GGUACAACAUCCACUAGUUGCAUUUCAGAGUGCCACAAGCCUCAUCUUAUUGCGAAAACAUGGUACUACAUCCCAUUGCUGCAUAAUUUUUUACCGACAUAGGGUACGACAUCCCAUAGUUGUAUUUCAGAGUGCCACGAACCUAAUUUUAUUGCAGACACAGGGUACUACAUUUCAUGGCUCCAUUAUUUUCAACAUA
rnacentral:lncRNA from 1 species